GGAACAAAAAGACAGCCUCUAAGAGAACUGAAGAAAAUGCCACUUCCACGUAAGCAAUAAAGUUUAAAACUGUUCCAUUGAUUCAAUGAAUUUACAUGAUUCCGAAAUUAAUAAUAUAUAUAUCUUUUUCCUAAUUGUACAUUCGAAAACUCAAGCCAAGAGCACGACUUCUCACUGACCAUACUGUACUUUCAGUUGACAAAAAAGAAGGGGAAAGAAAGAUGGACACUGUUCCUAAUGCAACUCCGAGAAAAAACCAUUGCCACACGCAAUGAAUUUACAUAAAGAUUCCAAAAAUAACUAAGAAUUUUGCUUUUCCUAAUUGUACAUUCGACAACUCAAGCCAAGAGAAUAACUUCACCUCGUGAACAUUGUUCAUAAAUCUCUUUCACUAACUGAAGCAUGGAGUCCGUGUCUUCUGCCAUCUUUGAUACUCUUUCUGCCUCCUUAACAGCUUCAGCAGCCAAAAAUGAUUUAUUUUCUGCUUCAGCAACUUUGUAAGCAGCAGCUAUUGCUGCUUCCUCCACUGUCUCACCAGAGACUAAUCCAGAAUUCUGUGACUGCCUUGGCCUUACUUCUUUUUGUUUUGGGGUUGGUGUUUUUGUUCCCAAUGAAGCAUCUUUACUGAUUCUAUAGUAAUUUUGGACCUGCAAGUUGAUGAUAUGCAGAAAGUAAGAAGCAAUCAAAUAAACCACCAGUAAAUUGCAUGCACCAAAUAAAAAACCAUAGAAGAAAAUUCCAACAUGACAAAAACUUUAAUGUAUACAAUGCAGCAAUGACAACUGUACUUGAAGUGUUGUGAUUAUAUUUUAACAAAUGUCAUGACAUUAUAACUACACAUAAAAAUUGGGAAACCAAAGCUGAUUAAAGCAGAUGCAAUUCAUUGUAGUAUCCUGAAAAUAUCUUUCACCUUUUCCAAUUUGCCUUGUGAAACAAGCCUCCUCAACCUUGAACUUAAUAACCUUCUAAAAUUUUGUGGCACCUCAUGCCUUUGCUGCACCACAUGUAUAUCUGGUCAUAAUCUGAACUCGUAUGAAAUUAAAUAGAGACAAAAUAAGAGUCAAGUUACCAAAGAAUAACAAAAUAUUGGCCCAUAUUUAUGGUUCGACCCUUGUGCCAUGCAGCUCAUGUAAGGAUAAAAACAGUGAAGUGAAGAAAUAAGGAGCAGCAGCACAUCAAAAUUCAACGUGGCGGUACGGUUGUAUUUUGCUUGUGUUUGAAGGUAAAAUUCAUUAGCUGGACAAUUACACCAAUAUUAGAUGAAACUUGUCCAAAACUUAACCCCCUGAAUUGCAUUUUAUUAUCUUUGAGUGAAAUGUAAGUCCCAGCAGACAAUCAAAGGUUUCCACUCUCUUUCAAUUCCCUCCCCACCCCAACACCAAAAACUUAAAAAACAGAGAGCGAGCAGUGAAUUUCUACCUUCAAGUAUUAUGUGCUACACAAAGGACAAGCAAUGGCCAAGAGAUAUAUUACAGUCUUUACUGUCUUAUACAAAAGUGACAUUUACAUUGCCUUAAGUCCAUCCUGGCACCCUGUGUCUUAUAGUAUCAUAUAGGUAAUGAAAAUUCUUAUUAUGUUGUGACACAGCACUAGAAAUCCCAUGGUAAAAUCACACUAACAAAGUUCUGACAUUAGAAGUAGGACAAAUAAGGAAAAACAACCCAUGAUUGAAAAUAUUUAAGCUUUGAAGAGCAAUAAUAGAGGGAUUUGAAAAUCAUUUCGUGCAGCCAGAUAUCAAAACAAAUUGUAUUCCCAUAUCCUUUAAGAUGUUUAAGCCCGAGGCUAGACAGGAUUCGGUUUUCUUACCCAGAACCCAGUUUUCCAACACAGUAAAACUUGACACAGGUCAUAGGUACAUUGGGAACAAAAACAACAAGGAAGAUAACAAGAGGAAUCCAUCUUACCUCAAUAAAGUGAACAAUAGCACUAGUAUCACAUCCAUUUGUGUCUUUUAUGGUUGAAAGAGCUUCAAAAAUCAUUGCAUUGUACCUGGUGGGCAGAACAAUAGUGGGCAGAACAAUAGUAUGAAAUUCCUAUAAAUAGGAAAAAGAAAGAAGAAACCAAAUGUUUUAUGAUAACUAGUCUCAUAUAUAUCAAAAUGGUUCCACAGAUUUGAUUAGCAAAUGUAAAUGGAAAGGACUAAAUGCCGCUGAGAGGAGUACAGAGGCAUUCCAAAAACAGCAUCAAUAUAGU
rnacentral:misc_RNA from 1 species